rnacentral:lncRNA from 1 species
GCGGAAGUGUAGGGGUGUGAGGUGAAAAGUGAAGAGAAGCCGGGUUGUCUUCUUCCGUCCUCAGCCGGAAACACCUGAAAUGGAAAAGCUAAAACCAGCCCCAAAGUGGAAUAACUCAAAUGUCCAUCAACAAGUGUAUCUCCUGGGAUACUGCUGGGCAAUACAAAGGAACAAGCUAUUGAUAACAACUAUUACCAGGUGAAUCUGGGAAUAACUACGCUGAGUGAAAGAUGCCGGACCAGAGGAGAGUGCAUAGCAUAGAAUUUGAUUUAUGUAAAAUUCUAGAAAAUGAAAACUGAUCUAAAGUGAUCUGUAGUGAUCACUAUCUGUAGUGAUAGUGGUUGCCUGGGGAUGGGAGAAGGAAUAGAGGGAUGUAUUACCAAAGGACACAAGGGAACUUAGAGGAGUGUAUUCAAGUCCUCCAGAAAAAC